UGGGAUUGUUGCCUUUGCCCAAAAAGGCUAUGGAGCACCUUCCUGUUGAGGUUAUUGGCAACAUAUUGUCUCGGUUAGGAGCUGCACGAGAUGUAGUGAUUGCAUCUUCUACUUGCCGGAAAUGGCGAGAGGCUUGGAGAAAUCAUCUUCACACACUCACGUUUAAUUCAAAUGACUGGCCUCUUUAUCAUGAGCUUACAAGGAGCAGACUAGAGAUAAUUGUGACACAGACAAUAUUCCAGACUAAUGGAUUACAGUGUCUGUCAAUUAUGAUGGAUGAUGUGGAUGAG
rnacentral:misc_RNA from 1 species